rnacentral:rRNA from 1 species
CACGGAGUUAGCCGAUGCUUAUUCGUACAGUACUUGCAAUAAAACACACGUGUCUCACUUUACUCCUGUACAAAAGAAGUUUACAACUCAUAGAGCCGUCUUCCUUCACGCGACUUGGCUGGUUCAGUCUCUCGACCAUUGACCAAUAUUCCUCACUGCUGCCUCCCGUAGGAGUCUGGUCCGUGUCUCAGUACCAGUGUGGGGGACCUUCCUCUCAGAACCCCUAAGGAUCGUUGCCUUGGUAAGCCGUUACCUUACCAACUAGCUAAUCCUACGCAUACCCAUCUCCAAUCAAUAAAUCUUUAAAACAAAAAAGAUAGCCUCCUCUGCUUACUAUGGGGUAUUAGUCCAAAUUUCUCCAGGUUAUUCCCCAAUUGAAGGUAGGUUGUAUACGUGUUACGCACCCGUGCGCCGGUCGCCACCAAACUAUUGCUAAUUCGUGAUGCCCCUGACUUGCAUGUGUUAAGCCUAUCGCUAGCGUUCAUCCUGAGCCAGGAUCAAACUCU